rnacentral:lncRNA from 1 species
ACGCAGUCUUUGAUCAAAAUCUAGAAAAAAAAUUAAACUUUUGUGUUUUGGUUGACAGUGACUCUUCCGCAACCAUUUGGAUGUAGGAUCUAUCUCUGAUUGAUUGAUUGAUUUGAGUACUGAUUAGUAUCGUCCUCUGUCUUAAAUUAUAAGUUGUUUUGAUUUCUUUUCGGGCAUAUAGUUUUUACUAUACAUCUUGAUAUAAUUAUAUCUAGACACACAAUAAAAGUUAUAUAUAUUAUAUAGAAAUUAAAUGAUAAAUUGAUCUAUAAAUUGAAAUGGAGGGAGUAGUGCGUGGUUGACUAUCUUUACGCAGUGAGACUUUUGGGUUAUUAGCUGGCUGGAAUG